CUCCCGUUGGCAGGGCGUGCACUUCUGACAGGCACAUGAGUUGAGAUGCACCUUUGUGCUAGAGGGUUGUAAACUCUGGGUCAAGUGCAUUGUAGUAUGCUGGGCAUUCAGAGAGUUUCCUUGCUCUUAUGUGUGACGGGCUGCCAGAACAGGUGUGGGAAUGUGUACUAGGUUCCGUGUAUUGCAGGGCUGGAGUGAGAAUGCAUGUUGAGUAUCUUAUUUAUUACCUUAGUAUAUGUGAGUGGAGUCCAGGUUGUUCUGAGGGUUAUGGGAAGGAGGCUGGGUGAAAUCGGUGAUAAGAUAGUAAGGGGUAGGUGCAGGUAUUCAACAAGGCGUUGGCUGCCAAGACCAGGGGGUGGUCUUUCUCCCCCCCGCCCCCAGGCUCUUUCCACCCACUCCUACAGUUCUGUGGAGGAGUGUCUGCUGGUGGGCUCCCCUCUCCUCCCCCCCACCAACCCGCGCCCAGUUUUCUACCCCCUUCUGGGGAGGUGAUUGUUGGCACAGAGGGAAACUCCCUUCCGGGCUAUCCACCCCUUUCCCAUUAGCCUUUGGUGGGGAGGGGUUCUCCAGUUAAACCAGCCCCCCUUUGGGCCUACCUCUGAGAAGGGUGGGGCUCCAGCCCCCUGCAGCUCCUUUUCCUUUGGGUGGAGAAGUGGGACUAGGAAGGAAAGGGGAAGGGGGGAGGACCCGAUCUCUGCCUUUUCAAAUGCAACCGGAGACCAAAGGCAAUUAGACCAUUGGGACCAUUUCCGACCUGGCGCCGCGAAGCCCGGGAAGUGACAAGGUAAUUUGGACCUCUGACCGACGUGCAAACUGGUCGGAGGGCUGCAGCACCCGGGCUGCCCAAGUGGGCCGCAAUUUUACGGUCCUUUAUGGACUCCUGGCUUCCGCGCCUCCAUGCCUCUUACACCCUGCCAGCCACAAACUGCCCGGAUCGGCGUUUGAUCUUGCCCUCGCCUGGGGAAAGUGUCUUCCCCGAGCAAUUGAAGCAUUCCCCGAGCAGUUGAAACACUGGGUGCUUGGGGUGAGCUUCGAAUCCCCCAAGUCCAGGACUUGCAUCCGCCCCCUCAGCACCCCGCACUCAAGGCACUGCUGUCACCCUCAGUCCCGCCAAUGCCAGAACACAGUAGGAGACCCCCGCCAGAACGCAGAUAGCAGAGAGAGUUGCUCAGUACCGCUGGUGACGCCACUCGGCGAGCGCAAGUGGAUAAAUAGAAACGUCUGCCACAGCGAAGAUGAAAGGAAACCCGCAGCUAAUGGCUCGGCAGUGAUGCGCCAGGUGUGGGCCUCGCUCGAUUGGGGAGGAGAGUGUGAAAACAGACAGAGAGACACACACACUGAGAGAGGGAGACACCCAGGCAGAGGGGAUGCAAAUGGAAUUCCGCAGAAAGAAAAGAGAGCUUAACGCGCGCGGCGAGUUCCGCAGGGGCAGCGGGACUCGAUGGCCUUAAGUUUUCCACAGCCUGGCUUCAUCUUGAGAUGGCUAUUCGUACAAGAAGUCGCUUUCCCGUUUGCCUGGACCUCGCCUGCACUCCAGUCCCUGCCUAGGGGCAGUGGUACCUGUCUCCAAAAGUGGAUGGCGUUUGAGGUAGAAGAGAGUGAAGUCGCUGAAAAUGCCCUAAAACAGCAAGGAAGAAGCUGGUAUAAAACUCCUUCAAACUGACCCUUUUUGAGCUCCAAGCAAGUGUGCUGGGGCCAGGUGGGUGGGCUGAGUCUAUCCCCACAUUGCUGAGAGCAGGAGGUGGGCACCUUCUAUGCUCAACCCCCCUUUCUCCGCCUCCUCCCGAAGAGCUUCUAGCCCUAGGCAGCCAGCUGCAAAGGGCAGCCCAGCACCUCCCUCCUUUCUGUGUCCCUAGCAAAGCCCCAGCUUUUACAGGUAAGUCCUCUUCCGUGACCUUUUUAUCUGUUAUCUCCUACUUUUCUCUCCUCCUUUUUCUCUUUCUGUAUUCUUCUCCUUCUUUGCUUCUCUCCUCCAUCUUCCUAUCCAUAGGGUUAAGGAAGGUAGAGGAAGUAAGGGGUCCAAAGAAAGACAAAGUUUCCUCUUCACUCCGGCUUUCCACUUCUCUUUCAGUCUAAGACGAUGUUCAUUAAUCUUGCCUGGGGGCGGAGGCAGCGGGAUCCGGAAGGUAGUGUCCACAUAGAUAUUUCUACUCCUUGGGACUCCUGAAGCCACUAUAUGCUGAGCACUGCUAGCCCCAAAAUCCAGGGAAAUGUUUUAGAGGUGAGAGGAUCAAUUGGGAGUGAGGGGAGUCAAAUCCUAGAACCUUUUCCUGCCUUGGAGAGCUGUCCAGGUAUUCUAUCUUUCUCUGUCCUCCCUACCAGCAGCCACAGCCUGAGGGAGCACCUGGCUUGCUCUCUUUCCUGUCAAUGGCAAGCCCCCUGGGCAUCUGUCUUAGAGCUUCCAAGGUUGCCUACUCUCUAUAGGGCCCUCCAGCACUGGGCCUUUGAGGUGCCCACCCUCCUUUCCUCCUUGAGCGCUUAACCUUCUCGUGAGUAGCCUGCUGCCCCCAUCUCCUGGGGGCUGGGUCCUCAGAGGGACUCCUGGCUCCCCACCCCGCCCCCAGCUCUGCAUUCAAUGGGAAUCCUCUGUUUGAUCCGCUUUUCUUCUGGGUGAGAUGAAAGCCGAGUAGGAGUGAGAGAUCAAGGAGUGCCACUUAGUCUGCUUCCUGGGUCGGGCCCUACGGAGCAGGGCUUACAUCCCGCGGAGAGGGCUGGAUGGAGCUGAGGACCGGCUUUUCAGAGGGAGGUUGCCUCCCUUGGGCUCCAGAUCUGAAGCUUCAGGGACACAUCCCCUCAGCCCAAAGCCUUCCCCAGCCCUCUCCCGACUUCUGCCCCGCUCUUUCAAAGCUGACUGGCCAGUCUUAGGAGCCUAGGGAACCACACCCACCCCCGCCCCUUUCCACCGGCGCAUUAGGGGGAAAACGUUUUAACCAAAUGUCACUUCUUCCAAAAGCAUCCUUUCAUCAACCUCACAUUAAGAGCGGUUGGGUUUUUAAAGGAAAGAAGACAAAAAAAGAGAGGACUGGAUAAGAACACUGUUUUGGUUUUUUGGGCGGUGAAUGUGGGGGGAGUAUUUAAUAACAUCGUUAUCACUGUGUCGUGAAGGUUAUUCGCGGCACGGCUCGAGAAGGAAGGUAAAUUCCGAGAGCAAGUGAAGCCCUGCACAACCCCAUUAAGCCUGGGCAAUCCCAUGACAGCGGAGAGGGGGUGAUAGCAGCUGAGGUGGAGGCCGCUCCAGGCCCGGCGGCUUCUCAUUUCUCGCGGCGGGGGACACCCAUCCCCCACCUGCCACACGGCAGGCCCCCCGUCCCUUCCCCCGCUGGGGCGACGGGCUCCGGUCCAGCCGGCUCCUCUCGGAUUGAAAUUCUCCGGACUUCAAAAGCUCCCAGCUUGGCUUCCGCCGGGGCUGGGCUGGCCUGGCCCGGGCCGGAGGGGGGUGGGUGGGAACCCCGGGGAGGCGACGGAGAUAAGAUGCGCGGGUCGUUUUAAAUGGAAUCGGAAGCCGGGCAUAGGCCCCCAGACGCGCGGGUCAGCUGGAACAGCUUCGCUCCUGAAGAAAACCGGGCUCGGAAAAGCGGCGCGUGUGGGGCCUGCCUCCGCAGUCUGCCCGCCCGGCUCGGGGGAGAUGGCCCGCGGCCCCGAUCACCCUCCCCAGCCUGCAGCGGGCCUUUCAACGGCGACAGGGCCCCGAGAAGGGAGAGAGCGAGGAGUCCUGAGCCGGGGGCCAGGAGCUGGCUUGUCGGCUCAGGUGUCGGUGAAAAUGUGAUCAGGAAAAAAAUGUUUUCGCUUCUCUUUGGUUAAAAAGUAAGAACAAAGGGAGCUUCCUUCUAAACAAUAAGCGUGGUCUGGCUGUCGUGAAUAUUAGUCUUGGGCCCUCCGUCAUCUUCCAGGCCGUGGUGGGGGCGCCAGACUGCUGGGUCCUCGCGGUGGGGACAGCCGGAGGUGGGUGGUUCUGGGACCCGCUUCCCCCUUCUGCCUUGGCAGCUGCUGAUGCCCUUUUGGGAACCUAGUGCCACUGCUGGGUGCACCCCUGGGGAAUAAGGUCGAGUGGAUCUCACACUUGCAGGUAGAUGAGGGUUGACCACUCCUGUCACCUCCUUGCACUGCAGUGGAAUCUGCUGAGAAAGUCGGUGGCAGCUGUGUAACUGUGGCAGGCACCGUGGAACACUUUCUCCUUCAGACAGGGGGAAACUGCGGCUUCUGGAACUCUGAUUUUGAAGAGUGCCCCCUCCUCUCCACCCUCCUGGAAUGGAGGGCCAGGUCCUGGGAGGCAGCUGACCCUGCUGCACUCCUGCCUGUACACCUGUCUGCCUGGGCUCCUUAAGGCCAGCCUGGUAGCUUCCUGGCCCUGUGCUAAGGAUGUCUGGUCCACAUCCCCAUUC
rnacentral:lncRNA from 10 species